rnacentral:lncRNA from 1 species
UUUUAAAGGAGAGAAGUGGGAAUUUAUGGCGCCAAAAUAGAGAGACUGCUGUCAUAAUACUGAAAUCCAACAUUUUCCCUAGUCUUUUGCAGCUGAGCUCAACAAUUCCCCCCACAACGUACACUCGUAGCAAAACUCCAGAAAUUUUCCUGUCAAAACUCCAACAAUUUCUUCAACGACUUCUAGCAAAAAUCCAAAAAUUUCCCCAACAUGGUGUAGCAAAAAUCCAAAGAAUGGCCAGGUAGCAAGAGACCCAGCAUCAACGCCCAACAAUUGGUAGCGAACCUCUAACAAUUUUCCCAACAUUGUGUAGCAAAAAUCCAAAGAUUGGCCAGGUAGCGAGAGACCCAGCAUCAACGUCGCGUCCGACCUCUCACCUCUGGUCUAUAUUCUUCACUCCAACCUAUCUUCUCCAUCUCCGGCAACGCUCGGUCGUCACAUAAGAAGGUAUGGGUGCUUUUGUUUUAUAAGUUGGAAUUUCUUGGUAUGAGUUGAGCUGUUAGAUUUUGGUGCUGUUUGAGAAAUGGAAAUAAUUGCACUUUCAAUUUUUGAAAUCUUACUGGGAAAUUGGAUUUUUUGCAUCAAUUAAUUCGGUUAUGGAGUUUAAGAAAUUCAAAAGACUAUUGAAAUUGACAUCUUUUUUACUGAAUUGUAACAUUUACUUUUUAAUUAGUUUCAUUCAUUUGCUCAUUUUAGUUAACCAAAUAUACUGGACUUCUGCCCUAAUAUAUUCUGUGAUGAAAAUUUUGGAAGAUCGGUAUACAUAUCCACUAAAAUGAGCUCAGCUGUUUAAUCAUAGUUUAAUAUGAGAUGAUGACAUAUAGUAUUUACGUUUUGCAGAAGACAAUAAUAUGGAAGAUGUUUUGUUCGUUGAAUCCGAAAAUGAGAACGUGGACAACAAUGUAAAUGUUGUAGGAGAGGAAACUGUAGGAAGAGAUCAUUGUAUUGUGUCUGAGGUUGGUGUGCAGUUCAAUGAUGAAAAAGAAGUGUACAAUUUUUAUGCAAGAUAUGCAUAGGCCGUGGGUUUUCCAAUUAGGAAGAGGAGUUUGACGAAGGAUAGUGAUGGUGUUUUGAGAUAUAUCACAUUGACAUGUAGUUAGGAAGGACGAACAAAUGGUAAUACAAGCACUUUUAUGAAGCUGCAACCAACAAUUCAGGCGGGUUGUAAAGCUAGAAUCUCUGCUUCUUUCGAUAUCCAUGGUAACUAAAAAAUUAACACAGUCCACCUUGACCACAACCGUAAGACAAGUCUUACUUAGUCCAAGUUGUAUGGAUGCAAUCGAGAAUUAAGUACACACGUGAAACGAAAGCUUGAAGUGAAUAAUAUGGCUGGUAUACCAUUCUACAAAAGUUUUAACUCCACAGUUGUCGAAGCAAGAGGCUAUGAGAUUAUGACUUGCAUAGAAAAUGAUUAUCAGAACUAUAUUGAACAAGUGAGAUGACUAAGACUUCGCAAGGGUGAUGCAGCAGCAAUACAGUCUUAUUUUUCUAAAAUACAAGCAAGGUGUCGAGACUUUAUUUUAGUAUUGACUUAGAUGAUGAUUAGAGUCUGAAAAAUGUGUUCUGAGCAGACAUUCGAUGUAGGCAAGCAUACAAUGAGUUUGGGGUUGUUGUCACAUUUGAUACUACUUACUAAUAACUACGAUAUGCCGUUCGUCCCUUUUGUUGGCGUGAAUCAUCAUGGACAGUCAACGUUGCAAUUCAGAGCAUGCAUGGUCUGACUCGUCCCUUUUGUUGGUUGUGGUUUGGCAUCAAAUGAGGACACGGAUACAUUUGUAUGGUUGUUCAGGACAUUGCUGCAAUGCAUGCAUGGUCUAGCCCCGCGGAAUAAUUACUGGUCAAGAUAGAGCCAAGCAGAAUUCAAUUCAGAUAGUCUUUCUGAAUAUGAGGCAUAGAUGGUGUUUGUAGUACAUUUUCAAAAAGUUGCCAGAAAACUUUGGAUACCAUGUGGAUAAGCCUUCGAUAUUUUCAGCUAUACACACUUUGGUGUAUGAUUCGCAGUUCGUCGAAGAAUUUGAGAAUGGCUAAAAAUUGAUGAUUGAUACAUAUGACUUGCAUGAGAACAAUUAGUUGUCGGGGUUGUAUGAAAAUAGAGGUCCUUGGGUUCCUUGUUUCUUGAAAAUGACUUUUUGGGUUGGGAUGUCAACGACGCAAAGAAAUGAGAGUGUAAAUGCCUUCUUCAAUGGUUAUGUGCAAUCUGAGACAUCAUUGAAACAGUUUGUUGAAUAGUAUGAACGAACACUAUGGAAUAAGGUUUAGAAGAAAUGUUGAUUUUAAGUCUUUCUCUCAGAUGGUACCAUAUUCAACACCUUACGAAAUGGAAAAACAAUAUUAGAAAGUGUACACCAUUUUGAAGUUCAAGGUGAAUUUACAAGAAAGGUUUAUUACGACCUCAUAUCCGCUUCGGAGGGACAUAUGAGGACGACAUACGAUAUGCGUGAAGACAUUUUAUUGGGUGACUGAUGAAAGAAAAAAAAUGUUUCUAGUCUCAUUCAAUACAAAGAAAUGUGAGAUUAUUUGUAGUUAUCACUUGUUCGAAUUUCAAGAAAUAGUAUGAGGCAUGCGAUCGCAGUGUUAAUUCGUAAUGACAUGACUAUAAUGCCGGAUCGAUACAUAUUACGGAGAUGGAGGAGAGACAUCAACAAAGCACACACAAAGGUCGCAGUUAAUUAUGAUGGGUUGGUUAGUACUCCCGGACAAUUGGGAUACGAUGACAUGUGCCAGGCAUUCUCCAAAAUGGCAGAUCUUGUAGUUGAUGACGAAGGGUGAUAUUGUACAAUCAUGGAUUGGAUAGAAAUUCAAAAUAAAGAGCUUAGUUUGGCAAAGUUGAGUUCAGGGAGUAAUAAUAUAUCGCAGUACACUGCACCUCAAGAUCCUACGAACAGGAGCGUCAAAGAGAAAACGGAUAAAAGGCCCAUUGGAGGUGAACACUAAGAAAUCCAAGGUAUAUUCUUAUAUCGUACUCUUUUAUGCACUUUAUUUUAUACACUAAGUAAUAUUCGUUAUGGUAUAUAUGUAGGUAUGAUCGGAUAAAAUUUAAGGGCUACUAAAUGAGAAAAAUGUUAUCAGUUCUUUACAAGAUGUGUAUGAUAAUUCCAAAGAAUCUUUCAUUUUGUUCAGGUGUAAUUUGUUAGACAAUUAUUUUUAGUGUUCGACUACAAGAUGUGUAUGAUAAUUACUUUUGUU